rnacentral:rRNA from 1 species
UACGAAGGGUGCAAGCGUUGUUCGGAAUCACUGGGCGUAAAGAAUGCGUAGGCGGCUUAACAAGUCAGGAGUGAAAUCCCAGGGCUCAACCCUGGAACUGCUUUUGAAACUGUUUUGCUAGAGUCCCGGAGGGGUUAGCGGAAUUCCGAGUGUAGAGGUGAAAUUCGCAGAUAUUCGGAGGAACACCAGUGGCGAAGGCGGCUAACUGGACGGGAACUGACGCUGAGGCAUGAAAGUGUGGGGAUCAAAC